rnacentral:tRNA from 2 species
GGGCGAUUAGCUCAGCCUGGCUAGAGCGCUUGCUUGACAUGCAAGAGGUCACUGGUUCGAGUCCAGUAUCGCCCACCA